ACAGUCUUGCGCUGUAAAAAGCAGGAUAUGGCACUACUAACCAAGUGUGUGUGUGUGUGUGUAUAUAAAAUAAUGUAAAAGGUAGACAGUUGUUAAUUUUUUUAAAACCAUUAAAUGUAUAGUUUAGUAUCCAUCUGUUUUGUUGUGUCAGAAAUUAUUAACAAUACAAAUUGUUUAUAAUUAAUCUUAAAUAAUAACAAAGCUUGAACAUUUGAUUUUGUUUAAAAGACAAAGAAAAUCUUUUUCUCAAAGAUCAAUUCUAUAGUAGAGUGAAAAAACAAAAAGGACUAAUUUUAAUAAAGUGUUUUUGUCCUCUUAAAUAGCAAAAGCAUAACACACUAGCUGUACCUACUCCAAAAUAAAUACAAAUAAAUAAAAUUAAAAAAUUCAAACUAAGAAAAUAAUUUAAAUAGUCAGGCACACACUGCUUCUCCGCCCACUUCCGGCCUCGGCCGGUAUAGUUCUGCGUGGUGGGGAGGGGGGAUUUUUAACUCAUCACUCUUUUUCAAAACAGCGCGGUAAACAAGAUGACGUCGCAGCUCAUCUCUUCUCCUGCUUUUCCUCCGUUGUUACAAAGGACACGAUUCAAUGAAUCAUUCAAUCGAUGUACUUGUAUUUCUGGGACAGUAAACAACGCUAUAUUAGGGAGGUCAGAGAUGAUUAUCCUUGAGGGUCGUGUGAUUUGUGAGGCCGUAUACCCCAGAUUUCGGACUGCAAGAUUUCUACUGUUCGCAAUGUACUACGUCUUAAAUCUUCAGUAUCCAGAGGCAUGUGGCACAUUGGAUUUUAUUUAGAGACAAUUUGUCGGAUAAACCCUGAAAAAGGCUCGAAGACCAGCAAAGUCAAGGUCGUUAAGAAGACUGGAAAGAAUGUGAAUAAGAAGACUGCUACUGUCAACGCAGAAGUUGCAUCCCUCCUAAAGAACCUCAUCCGUUUCGAAUGGGAUUUUGUCUAGACCUGGAUUUCCUCUCAGGCCAGAGUGAUCAGAAGCUGGAGUAAGACACUUAAAUUUUUUUCCAACAAUUAGUUUGAUUAAUGUGUUCUUCAUUUCAUGCCAGGUUUUUAAAAUAUGUUGUGCCGUGCUGGCAGUUUUUUCUUCUUGUUGUAAGUUUGUUUUUAGCUCCUUGAGUUGCACUUUUUUCUGUGAUUUCUGUUUUUAACUCUUUCCCGCCAUUGACGAGUUUUUAUAGCAAUCCGUAUUUCCGUUAUUAUGUUGCUCUUACCCAACUUAUACAACCUGGAAACAACCCCUCAGGUCAAACAAUUCAAACUCUGUGUAUGUUUUGAUUAUUGCUCCGGAUUUCUAUCAGAAGUCUUUCACAAAAUCGCCAUUAUCUCAGCUUUUUGCUCAAAAUAUGGUCUUUUUGAAGAAACCUACUCAUAUUUGAGAGGUGGUAAAAAAGAACUAAUUUUAAGGUAGGAUGAAUUUUUUUUAUUGUUGUUUGAAAGCAGAGGGGUUUGUUAUUUUAUUUGAUUCGAUUUGAUAUAUUGAAGGUUUAUAUAGUUAAAGAAGAAUGUUUUCUUGAAGGCAUUAAACUUUUGUAAAAAUCAUUAAAAACGCUGGCAUGGGCUGUCAACUUUUUUUAAAACACUGGCGGGGAAAGAGUUAACAUAAUGUUAAAUUUACUGUAACUGUUACUCCGUAGCUCCUUCAAUUGCACUUUAUUUUUGUGAUGUGGUCUUACUUUACUCUGUGGUUGCUUUUUAAUGGCACCUUUUCUCUGUGAUAGUGCAUUUAUUGUUAAACAUACUUGUAGAUGUUUACAGUGCUAAAAGAUUGUUUAAAGAUUGUAAUAACAGUUGUAUUAAUAAAUGGAAAAUGGAGCACUA